rnacentral:lncRNA from 1 species
GACUCAUGUUAUUUAGAAGUGUGUUGUUUAACCUGCAAGCAUUUUGGAAUUAUCCAGCUAUCCUUCUGCUGUUGAUUUUGUUUAAUUCCAUUGUAGCCUAAGGACAGUUAUUAUAUGAUUGUAUUCUUUUUAAAUUGUUAAGGUUUCACAGUUCAGAAUGUGUUCUACGUUCUAUGUUCUAUCUGAGCUAGGGAAGAAUGUGUAUUCUGUUGUUGGAUGAAGUAGUCUACAGAUGUCAGUUAUAUCCAGUUGAGUAAUGGUGUUGUUGAGUUCAACAAUGUCUGUACUGAUUUUCUGCCUGCUAAAUCUGGCCAUUUCUGAUAGAAGGAAUCCUCAGCUGCAUUUUGCAUUAUUUCCAGAGUUCUUGGUUGUAAUCAGUGGAGAGACAGGCUGUGGAAGACUUACCCCAUUUCGAUCAACACCAGGUGAAAAGGGCUGAGUUCAGAGCACUUCUCGACAGAUGAACAUAUGGAGGUUGACAGGAAGGGAACAAAAACUCAUCCAUGUACCAACAGUGGAGGACUCCACCUCCACAGGGACAAAAUCUCCUGUGCUCAGGACCCUUCCAAGUCUUGCCCUAUGUAUCUCUUUAUCUGUUUGUAUCCUUUGAAAUAAACCAGUAAACCAAA